rnacentral:rRNA from 1 species
AUUGAACGCUGGCGGCAUGCCUUACACAUGCAAGUCGAACGGCAUCACGGUUUCUUGCGCCUGGUAGCGAGUGGCGAACGGGUGAGUAAUACAUCGGCACAUGUCCUGUAGGGGGGGAUAGCCGGGCGAAAGCCGGAUUAACACCUCAUACGAUCCACGGAUGAAAGCGGGGGACCUUAGGGCCUCGCGCUAUAGGGUUGGCCGGUGGCUGAUUGGCUAGUUUGUGGGGUAAAGGCCUACCAAGGCGACGAUCAGUAGCUGGUCUGAGAGGACCAACAGGCACACGAGGAGUGAGAAAGGGCCCCGACUCCUAGAGGAGGACGCAGUGGGGAAUUCUAGGCGAGGGACGAGAGGCUGAUACAGCAAUACCGAGUGUGUGAAGAUGGACUUCGGGUUGUAAAGCAAAUUUGUACGGAAAGAAAUCAUUGACUCUAAUACGGACAGGAGAUGACGGUACCGGAAGAAUAAGCACCGGCUAAAUACGUG